ACCCUCCUUGGCUGCACAGGCAUGCAGGUGAGCAGGUAUCCUCUGGCAGCAGGGAGCUCAGACAGGACCAAGAUGUACUUGAAAGAGAAUAUCCACAGAAAAAGAGACAAGGCAGGGAAAAAAUGAGGCAAGGCAUCAAAACUAGUAGACAAACUGGCUAACAAAGGAAGCAUGAGCACAUAUGUGAGCUGACAGUACAGCAACUGUGUGUCUCCAGAAUUAUGGUUUCACCUGAAAGCUUUUGAUUAUUGAGUAUCUUGAAAUCUUAAUUUCAAAUGAUGAAAGAAAUUUGGCCUUUAGGCUACACUGUUGCCCCAAACAAGCACUUUCCAAAAUGCACCUGUGAACCACAGCUGCAGAGCUGUCAAAAAUCCCUUCUCACCAAUGGCUGCCAAUUUUUUUCCCAAUCCUCACUAUCAGCCUUUAAAUCCAUUGGCUAUCUUACUUUUCUUUCUUUCUCACUUCAAUCCCAGCUGAACCCUCAAACCAGUUAUUUUCUGUAACUGUUCAAGGAAGAACAACAAUUUACAUCAAAAGUUACAAACUCAUUAUUUUUAAGCCUUCAAGAACAAACUGGAUAGAAACCUAUACCAGGUGAUAGCAAACAGGAUUACUUGGUUUAAAACAAAAUACAUCACCUUAAAGGGAGUCCUAACAGUAUUUUUCUGCUUUUUCUAAAUAAAAUACACAAACUAAAACAUCUGAGUUGUUUCACACCACUAAGUUAAACAUUAAUAUUUGGACCUCAGCUUUCACUCCUCCCACAGAUGCGAGAGAGGUGCUACAAGCACCUUUUAGCACAAAUUAUCCCUGACUCCACAUGGAUUUGACAGCGAGAUUUCCCAGAGUUAUGGAUUUUAAGGUCAGAAAUGACCAUGAACUAUCUUCCUUUGUAAACAUGGACAAGAGGCACUUUCCUGCUGCUUGAAGCCUGACAGCUUUCAGAGCUCCCAGAAAACUAUCCCAGAGAAGAAGACUUUAUGUUUUUAUGGUUUGCUCCAGUGGCUCAUCAACCUUGCUCCUGAAAACCUGCACCUCAACUUCAGCCCUUUGGGAUACUGAAUUUUCUUUUUAAUUUAAUUAAUUUUAAUUUAAAAAAGAAAAAAAAAAAAAGGGAAAAUACUGAACUGGAGAAAAUAUGAAACAAUCUGGCCAAGCCUCACUGAGAUGUCAUCAAAGACAGGCAGCAAUUGCUGGUAAUGUCAGCAGAAACUCAAAAAUCAGACAAACCCCUCAAUCAUCAUAGGGGCACUGAGCCAAGGAAAACGCAAAUAUCAAUGUCUUCAUGUCUCGAGAACUUUGAAAAUCAGAAGGGAAAAACCGAGUAACUUGCACGAUGCCUCAAGUUAAAUGGUUAAACAGGGAUGAUCUGUUGUGUGAAUCCAACAUGAGUGCUUUUGGCACCCAGCUGAUGAAAGGGCAGGAUCUUUGACCAGAGACAACCAGAUCUGGAGCCCUCUGGAACCUCCCAGCACCUCCCCUCUAGAGAGGUCUACCCCACGAGGGUCUGACCACCCAAACAGAGAGAGAGCAGGAGGUGGAUCAGCUCCUGGAGAGCCAGCGUGAGGCUGCACGGAGGGAAAGGCACCGUGAAGGACGUGAGAGGACAGAGACGCAGCAGACGGCACGCUCCUGGACCUUGUGUAUCUGCUGCUCAAGUCAGUGAACCACCCUUCCCUGCCUUCAGUGGAAAUGGCACAGGCACUUUAAUGAUUUGCACAGCAAUGUCCUAAAUUCUUUAGAAGUUUCACAUCCUGCUUUACCUUCCCUGGGACCUACACCAGCUCCCAUUAACUACAGUGGGAUCCGGAUCAAGGCCACAACAUUAAUUCUUCCUGAAC